GAUGAACGCUGGCGGCGUGCCUAAUACAUGCAAGUCGAGCGAACAGACGAGGAGCUUGCUCCUCUGACGUUAGCGGCGGACGGGUGAGUAACACGUGGAUAACCUACCUAUAAGACUGGGAUAACUUCGGGAAACCGGAGCUAAUACCGGACAAUAUAUUGAACCGCAUGGUUCAAUAGUGAAAGACGGUUUUGCUGUCACUUAUAGAUGGAUCCGCGCCGCAUUAGCUAGUUGGUAAGGUAACGGCUUACCAAGGCAACGAUGCGUAGCCGACCUGAGAGGGUGAUCGGCCACACUGGAGCUGAGACACGGUCCAGACUCCUACGGGAGGCAGCAGUAGCGAAUCGUCCGCAAUGGGCGAAAGCCUGACGGAGCAACGCCGCGUGAGUGAUGAAGGUCUGCGGAUCGUAAAACGCUGUUAUUAGGGAAGAACAAAUGUGUAAGUAACUAUGCACGUCUGGACGGUACCGAAACAGAAAGCCACGGCUAACUACGU
rnacentral:rRNA from 1 species